UAGUGGUGGUAAAAGUGGGGAGUCACUCUCACCGUUAGUGAUCGUGUCCCGGUCCGACCGACUCGCCUUUUCGAUCUUACCAGACGCGAGUUUGCUUUGUCGAGUUUGUCGAACUUUCCAUGUCGAAGAUCCAUACAGGGUUUGAAAAAAUUCAAACAGUUUUCGAAUAUUGGCUAUCGUUCCUGAUUAAUUUCUAUAGUAGAAGAUCGAUUGAUCGAAUUAUACGAUGGAAAUUUUCGAGAAUCGUUCGAACUUUGAUUGCGAUCUCGAUUAUGUGCCCUCUGCGAUCGAGCAUGUAGAAAGUUUAGGUACAUUUGCAAUUGUCCUGGUAUGCAUUGGAGCAAUAUUUUCAACUAUGACGUUAUACUUGGCUAUAGAUGCUACUUACAACGUUCUUUCGCAAAAAGAAACGGUUCUUUACAAAUCUAAUGUCAUUAGCAUUUUCUCGAUAUAUCCGAUAGCGAGUAUUUGCAGUUUGAUAGCGAUAGCGAUGCCAAGGGCACAAUUAUUAUCGGAGGCGGUCACUCAAGUUUUCUUGACAGUGUCUUUUUAUCGUCUGUAUCUUCUUCUUAUCGAUGUUGGUCGUCGAAAAAUAACGAAAGCGCCCUCAUUAAUGUUGAAAGUUGGCCCUUGCUGUUGCUGGCCAUGCUUACCCUUUCCUAAUCUCGAUAUGAUAGAUUCUCGUUUAACUUGGAUUCGAUUGAUUAUUCUUCAACUUCCUAUUAUACAGGGUUUACUAUACUUCAUCAUGCUAAUUAUGGCUUUGGACGAACGAUAUACAUUACCAAUGUACUCUGAAUGGUUUCAACCAUUCAUUGUGAUUAGUAUACUAUUUGCAUUGUAUGGUUUAACGAUCACCACAAAAAGUCUACAUGCCGUAGCUCCAGAAGCCAAACUGAACUUUAAGACUAUGGUGUCUCAGAUGGUCUUGAUGUUUUCUAAAGCCCAAGCUGGUAUUAUUAGGAUUCUCAUUUAUACCGGCAUCUUUCCUUGCAGGCCACCAUUGUCACCGAAAAUUUAUUCCAAUGUGACGCAAAAUACCCUGAUGCUAAUCGAAAUGCUGCUGCUCUGUGUUGCGGCGAGAUAUCUUUAUUAUGUCGACCUGGAAGGAAAAAAAAAUUCGUUGACGACAGAUCGGCCAAAAGACAAGCCGCACAGUAUGACGAAUAACAAGGACUUACCUGAACAAGUUUCAACAAAGAUCGCUAUUGUGUAUAAAUCUUAAAUAAUAAGAACAAUCUUUCUUUGUUUCAAGAGGAAUAGAGAGAGAGAGAGAGAGAGAGAGAGACUUUUUUUAAAUCUUUUAGCCGCUGAAUAUGCAAUUCUUCGAUCGAAUCUUAUCUUGGAAAAAUUCUUACUUUAGUGUCGUUAGUAUUUCUUCUACAUAAAAAUAGAUGCACUUUUUUUUAUAGAUUGUUAAUAAUUUUUACUAAGUAGUUGAAUUUUUAUUAAAAGACAAAUAAGUGAUCUUCUAUAAAAAGAAAACUUAUAGGCACGUUCCUAUAUGACAAAGUAAAUUAUUUCUUACUUAGCAAAGCAUAUACUGAUGUUUAUUAAUCUUACCGAGAUAAUUUACAAUUAGUACGAAACCUAUAAAAAGAAAGAGAUCCCCUAAAAGAUGAAUCGUAUUUAUUCCAUUUUAUACUUCCUUUUUAUACUAGAUACACUUUUUUAUAGUACUGGUAAAAAAGAGAAGAAAUAGAAAAAAUGUGUGAUACCUAACGAUUAAGGAAAAAAGCGACGAUCUGUAAAUUAUUAUAGAAUAAUGCCUAUAUUAUAAUAAUUAAUAAGUCUUGGUAAAAAGCAAAAUUGUCCAUUCAAAAAAUAAAGGGAGAUAAAAUGUUUAUAUUCUCCAGUACGAAGAUUAUCGCGAAAUAAAAAAAGGAGAGAGGACUCGCAGCCAAAUGUUUUUCGAGUUUCUUCUCGCAGACGAAAAGAAAGGAUGGAGAUACUUAAGUACUUGGUGACGGAUGGUGAAAUUCGAGAAUAUAACUUUGCAUUAUCAGUUGGAGAACUUUCGGGGUCUCGCGUCCUUGAAAGGAAAAAA